AUGGGUGUCGCUCCUUUUAUGGGGACUUACCCCAGCUUCACCAUGGUAAGACCACAAGUCCACUCCAGUAAAGUCCACUUUGGACAUUACUGGACAGUGAGAUGGACAAUCAACCCCUUAGGUGGCCCUCACGCAUCCAUCAGAUGGCAGACAUGUUGUCUGAUUGUCUCAUCUUUUCAUCUGUCUUUAUGUAAGGCUGGGGCACCAGUUGCUGGAGCUCCGAUGAUGCCAAUGGCACGGCCAGGCUUCCCUGCCCAGGGAGCGACACCUGGAGGACCGAUCGCCCCUGGAGUGGCCCAGAGCCCGAGAAAGCCUCCACCACCCAGGAACGCCCUGGAUGACCUCAACAUUAAGGACUUCAUGUAGACUGAUUGACCCCAAAACCCUCAAAGGUUUGUCAUCAUGUCUGGAGCUCUGUGGAUGUGGAUGUCUGCACUCCCACCUUCCUCCCUCCUCGUUCUUUCUCUCUUACCCCCUCUCAGCCAACCAGCCAUUGAACUCUUUUACCCUCUGACCUCCAACCAGCCACUACCCCCCCCACUCCACCUCCACACACAACAACCCCCUCCUUUAUCUAAUGUUGUAGCACAACUGUGAAUGUGAACCCUAGAUACAAGAAAAGCAGAAUUCCGUUUACGUGUGUGUGGGUGUGCGUGUAAUUCAGUGUUAACCUUUACUUAAUAUACUAUGGAAAAAACAAAAAAACAAAAAAAAAAGAAAUAAAAAAAAAUCAAUGUGUAUUUAGAUUCAUUCUGGAUUUUGGCGUAUCAGCUGACUUGGAAUGGUGGAUAUAUAUGUUGGUUUCUUUGCGCAUCUCCCCGACGAGGACUGUGUUGUUAAAUGUGGACUGUGUUCAGUGUGACUUCACUGGCCGACCCCCUUUUUCUCUCCCACUCCCUUCCUCCCCCCUGCCCGUCUUCCAUUCCUCUACCCCUUGUCGUCCAAACUAAUACUGAGCUGAUGUUUAAUGUCAUUGAAGACUUGGUUGUACCUAUAUCUGCUUAGCCAUCCAUCCAUCACACAGCACCUGUCUACUUCAAGUUUUUUUGGAGAACAAUUAUCAAAAAAUGUACCUUAACCACAACCUGCACUGCAAAUCUGGACUUAUCAUUGAACACAGCAGAGAGUGUUCAGUUUUAUUUUUACUUUUCUUUUUUAUUUAGUGAUUGUAUGAAACAUGCAAAAAUUUGUGAACUGUGUUCAAAUUGACAUAUGCAUUUUAGACUAUUUUAAAAGACAGAUUAUACAUAUUUUCUUUAUUUUGAGUGAAAAAAAAAUGUAUCAUAUAUUUUAGUUACACUAAAUUGUAUGGUUGGAAAAAAAGCAGGUAGUUAAAAAAAAAGGUUUCCCACUUUCUUUGUACAUACCUCUCAGUCUAUAUUAAGAGGCGGUAAUGAAUGGAAAUGAUGCUCAGAGUGUGUACUGUUGCGCCCUUUGCUGGUGUGCAGUGGUACUGCAUCAUAAUGUCCCCGCCCAGGUCGAUCUGGGAUGCAUUCGAGUACUCUGAGAGGGCUCUUUUCCACAAUGAGUAAAUCUAUUAGUCCAAGAUAUGAGAGGAAGCUUUUGUGUUUGUGAUUGGAAAGCUUUUAUCAGGUCAUUUUGUGAUGCAGCAGUGGAUGGCAACGUUCGCCGCCGCCGCUGAAGGACUCACUGUAAAGCACUCAAGUAUACGCUGGAUGUUCUGUGUGUUGUUUAUUUCCAAAAAGUGACUGUAUCUUAGUCCAUUGUGUUGAAAGAAAAAUAAAGGUGACUAUGACACAUAUAAACAAAAAGAAUGUGGAUAAAUAAUGUUUUGCUAAGUAUUCAUAGGAAGACUGUUCUGUUCUUGUUUUGUUUUUGUUAUCAUGGAUGGCAUCGUCCUCCCUCCCUCAACUCAACCUGCAUGUGAGUCCAAAUGAGAUGC
ensembl:lncRNA